rnacentral:tRNA from 1 species
UCCCUGGUGGUCCGGUGGUGAAGACCCCGCACUUCCAAUGCAGGGGACACGGGUUCGAUCCCUGGCCAAGGAA